rnacentral:rRNA from 1 species
UACGAAGGGGGCGAGCGUUGUUCGGAAUUACUGGGCGUAAAGCGUGCGUAGACGGUUGCGUAAGUCAGAUGUGAAAGCCCCGGGCUCAACCUGGGAAUUGCAUUUGAGACUGCGUAGCUAGGGUGCGGAAGAGGGAAGCGGAAUUUCCGGUGUAGCGGUGAAAUGCGUAGAUAUCGGAAGGAACACCAGUGGCGAAAGCGGCUUCCUGGUCCAGCACCGACGUUCAGGCACGAAAGCGUGGGGAGCAAACAGG